rnacentral:lncRNA from 1 species
AAAUUCAAGGGAAUAUUUUUUUAGGCCUACUUUCGUAUGCAACCGGAUGUGACGUACCAUGAUUUGGUGGUAUUACACCUUAAUGGCAUAGUCCUGAGUUAAAAAAUUUUGUGUGUAGUCUUUGUGUAAGUGUUAAAUAUACAUAUUGUUGAAUUACUCAGAGAUUUAUAAGAUGUGUAACUAAUUUUAUCAUUGUAAAUAUAUACAUUAAAUGUUAGCUGAUAUGACUUUAUAUGUGAUUUUCUAUGCAGUAGAGCAUAGUAGAACAGUAAUUUGUUGUAAUACGUGUUUUAAGAAAUCCAGCAUCAAUUUUCAAGGUCAUUCCAUCUUAGGUUCUUUAUUUUUUUGCUUGAAUUUGAAUUUAUUAUGCAUAUCUAUGAAAAAAUAUUGUGUUAUAUAAGUUUAGAAAUUGAUUUUCCAUGAUGUCUUUCGGUGUCAUACUAAAACUAAAUGAAAAAUUAAAUGACUUUUCAAUUAUUUGCUGAAGAUCUUAUAUCAAAACAUUUUUAAUUGUACGUCUAAAAGGGAUUUAGUUAUGUACAGAAAACGUUGGUUCCAUUUUGACAAAUAACUGCAAAUGAAAUAAUUUUGUAUAUUAAAAAUGGGUCAACCUGAACUUAAUUGGGUUUUUUUGGUGGAAAAUAUUGAAAAAAAACUGGAAUAGUUACAAUACAGGGCGUGUGGGAAAUUUAACAUAUAGGUUGUAUCAUGAACAACAUAUCUGUCAGUUAGAGAGGAAAGCUAAGAUAAAUAUGAUUUGAUAAUCUUGAAAGUAUUCUUGAUUUUUGAAAUAGGAAUAGAGCAUUUAAAGUAAGAGGUAAAUUUUUGUUACUACUACAGUCGAUUCCACUUAAUUGCAUACCGCUUAAUAGCAUAAUUCGGUUAAUUGCAUACUUUUCUCCUGCACAAAACCAUUUCCCAUUGAUUAAUGUAAAUUGUACGGUUAUAUGCAUAGCCCCACAAGUGGCAUUUCGGUUAAUUGCAUAGAAAAUAAUCGCCAGCUAGAUAUGCUGAGUUAAAACUAACGAG